AUCCUUUUGUGGUUCGUAAGAAUGAUGAUUGCGUUUUACACUCAUUUGUAAGAUGUGCCUUCCUCAAACCUUGUUACAAAUGAUGUUAGCACAUUACCCGUCUGAUG